AUCCGAUAUCACGGUUCAUACAUAUUCGGGCAUGCGUAGUCAGUGUGUAAACCAAGCUUGCAACAGCUGAAAAACUGGGACAUGUGUUUUGGAUAUAUUAACCUCAAAUAUCCGGCUGUAUAAUUGUAACAGCAUCAUUGAUGUAUAACUGACACAGUGGCACGCACGGGGAUUGUAGGAAUAUGUGAUAUUGUACAGCAUCGAAAAACAGCAACAACAACAACAAGUCUUGAUAUGCAGAGAAAAUAAGAUUCUGCAAUGGCGCUGUUGUCUGUCGUUUCUAUUCUGAGAAUAUCUGUCAGUUUCAACACGAAGUUUAUGAGAUGCAAGCCUUAAUCGCGCCAAAGCAACACAAUAUUUGCUGGGUCCUGUGGAGUUUUGCCAAAGAUUACCAUGUCAUCUGCAAACAACAUCAAUAUAAAGGUGAAGGUCCCAGCCUGGUCACCAACAAGCCGUCCGUUAGCAAUUCUUACAGACGUGGAUUUACAGAGAUCUAGAAGCUUUAAACCAUGUGAAUUUGUACUAGAGUCCAUAGAAGUUCUUGGUAAAGGAUUAUCAGCUUGUCCCUAGUCAAUCCAUGGACGUUCCACGAAAGGAUGCGAAGAUCCACCCUCGCAGAAUCCUAGUGACCUUUACCACGACCGUUACCACCACGAUUAUCACUACCUCCACGUGCACCGCCUCGACCUCUACGGACAUUGUUUCCUCUACCGCGCCUGCCAGCGUUGGAGCUGGCAUAACUGUGAGCAGUAGAGUUUCGUGAAAACUGGUGUAUCUGGUGUAUCAUGUGAGACAGAAGUAUGAGAACUGUUUUUCUGAGGAAUUCCAUCAAUAUACAGUGUAUCGUAGCUAAGCCACGCUUUUCUACCAUUGUUUAUAGCCUCCUUAAGUUUUGGGAUUAAUGCUUUACGUCGAUCAUUCACUGCCUUAGGGUAUUGCUCAUGCACAUAAUAGGAAGUGCCUUUAAGCUUAUUACUGGAGUUACGCACACGUUCUCUGUCUUUGAAGGAUGCGAACUUAACAAUAAUAUUUCGAGGCUUUCGUGGCGGACCAUAGCGACGGGGACCUUCAUCAUCAGAGUUAUCCGUGUUCUCCUCGUAUGUGAAAUCUGCACUAGUACAACCAUCUGGUGGAUUUGUAGAACGAUGUGCACGUUCAAUGUGAAUCUGAUCAACAACAUUCUGUUGGAAACCCAUGUCAUUCACUAGAAAAUUACGUACCUUGUUUUCAGUCAUGUAAUGUUUUUCAUUCAUAACCUCGGGAAUGUUUCCAAAUACAAGGUUAUUACGCAUAGACUGCGAUCUCAUAUAGUCCAUUUCACUAUUGUAUUUAUCCUGUUGUUCAGUUAACCUGGUAAUACAAUCAUUGGCCUGCCCUAAGGCAAACUGUAAAUUGUCAAUUUCCUCCAUACAUUUGUUUACCUUUUCAUCGUUCGUCACUAUAUUGUCUUGCACAUAUACCCACAAUUUCUUAACAUCUGUAUCAAUACUAGUCACCUUAGACUCUAAUGAAUCCAACUUUGUUAGUUUUUGUUCAACAUUGUCUAAUCUUUUGUCAAUUUUCUUUAGAUAUUGUAGAAUUUCAUUUGAAUUUGAUAAAUUGGCGGGAGCACUGCA